rnacentral:rRNA from 1 species
CAAAAGCGUAUAUUAAAGUUGUUGCAGUUAGAAAGCUCGUAGUUGAACCUUGGGCUUGGCUGGCCGGUCCAUCUUUUUUGAUGCGUACUGGACCCAGCCGAGCCUUUCCUUCUGGCUAGCCUUUUGGCGAACCAGGACUUUUACUUUGAAAAAAUUAGAGUGUUCAAAGCAGGCCUUUGCUCGAAUAUAUUAGCAUGGAAUAAUAGAAUAGGACGUUAUGGUUCUAUUUUGUUGGUUUCUAGGACCAUCGUAAUGAUUAAUAGGGACGGUCGGGGGUAUCAGUAUUCAGUUGUCAGAGGUGAAAUUCUUGGAUUUACUGAAGACUAACUACUGCGAAAGCAUUUACCAAGGACGUUUUCAUUAA